rnacentral:rRNA from 1 species
UGAUGACGAGACGCUAAGGCGUUGAAGCAGUGUAUGUCAGACUUCCAAGAAAAGCUCGCAAUGUCACUAACAAAGAAUGCCUGUACCAUAACCGACACAGGUGGGUAGGUAGAGUAUACUAAGGGGCGCGAGAUAACUCUCUCUAAGGAACUCGGCAAAAUGACUCCGUAACUUCGGGAGAAGGAGUACCUUAUUUAUAAGGUUGCAAUAACAAGAUCCAAGCAACUGUUUAUCAAAAACACAGGUCUCCGCUAAGUCGUAAGACGAUGUAUGGGGGCUGACGCCUGCCCAGUGCCAGAAGGUUAAAGAAGUUGGUUAGUGUAUGCGAAGCUGAUGACUGAAGCCCUGGUGAACGGCGGCCGUAACAAUAACGGUCCUAAGGUAGCGAAAUUCCUUGUCGGGUAAGUUCCAACCCGCACGAAAGGCGUAAUGAUUUGGAUACUGUCUCGGAGAGAGGCUCGGUGAAAUAGACUUGUCUGUGAAGAUGCGGUCUACCUGCACCAGGACAGAAAGACCCUAUGAAGCUUUACUGUAACUUGAAAUUGGAAUUGGACUUUGCUUGCGCAGUAUAGGUGGGAAGCGUUGAAAAUAUUCUUGCGGGAGUAUUGGAGCUAUCAGUGAGAUACCACUCUUGUAAUGUUAGAUUUCUAACUUUGAACCAUAAUCUGGUCAAAGAACAGUUUCAGGGGGCAGUUUGACUGGGGCGGUCGCCUCCCAAAUGGUAACGGAGGCGUACAAAGGUUUCCUCUGAACGGAUAGAAAUCGUAUCUAGAGUGUAAAGGCAUAAGGAAGCUUGACUGUGAGACCUACAAGUCGAGCAGGGACGAAAGUCGGUCUUAGUGAUCUGAGGUACUGAGUGGAAAGGCCGUCACUCAACGGAUAAAAGUUACUCUAAGGAUAACAGGCUGAUCUCCCCCAAGAGUUCACAUCGACGGGGAGGUUUGGCACCUCGAUGUCGGCUCAUCGCAUCCUGGGGCGGUAGUACGUCCCAAGGGUUGGGCUGUUCGCCCAUGAAAGCGGUACGCGAGCUGGGUUCAGAACGUCGUGAGACAGUUCGGUCCAUAUCCGGUGUAGGCGCUAGAAUAUUGAGAGGAGCCUUCUUUAGUACGAGAGGACCGAGAAGGACACACCGCUGGUGUACCAGUUAUCGUGCCAACGGUAAACGCUGGGUAGCUAUGUGUGGAGUGGAUAACCGCUGAAAGCAUCUAAGUGGGAAGCCCACCUCGAGAUGAG